AGGUCAUUUCAAAGAGAGCUUAUGGGGCCAAAUCCAGGAUCUCUUAAUGCUGAGACCUAAGAUAAAGUUCUCCAUAGGAUGUAUUAGACACUCAGGAGUGCUGUGUUUCCUUAGGAGAUAUAAGG